GACGAACCGAGCGAACGUUGUUCGGAAUCACUGGGCUUAAAGGGCGCGUAGGCGGGUGCUCAAGUCCGUGGUGAAAUCCUCCGGCUCAACCGGAGAACUGCCUCGGAUACUGGGCGUCUCGAGUGUGGUAGGGGUAUGCGGAACUAUCGGUGGAGCGGUGAAAUGCGUUGAUAUCGAUAGGAACUCCGGUGGCGAAGGCGGCAUACUGGACCACCACUGACGCUGAGAUACGAAAGCGUGGGGAUCAAACAGG
rnacentral:rRNA from 1 species